AUUGAACGCUGGCGGCAGGCCUAACACAUGCAAGUCGAACGAGUGGCGGACGGGUGAGUAAUGUCUGGGACACUGCCCGAUGGAGGGGGAUAACUACUGGAAACGGUAGCUAAUCCCGCAUACCAUCGGAUGUGCACAGAUGGGAUUAGCUAGUAGGGGGGGUAACGGCGCACAGAGGCGACGAUCCCUAGCUGGUUUGAGAGGAUGACCAGCCAAACUGGAACGGAGACACGGUCCAGACUCCUACGGGAGGCAGCAGUGGGGAAUAUUGCACAAUGGGCGCAAGCCUGAUGCAGCCAUGCCGCGUGUAUGAAGAAGGCCUUCGGGUGGUAAAGUACUUUCAGCGAGGAGGCGGUACCCGCAGAAGAAGCACCGGCUAACUCCGUGCCAGCCGCCGCGGUAAUUC
rnacentral:rRNA from 1 species